rnacentral:rRNA from 1 species
GACGAACGCUGGCGGCGUGCUUAACACAUGCAAGUCGAACGGAAAGGCCCUGCUUUUGUGGGGUGCUCGAGUGGCGAACGGGUGAGUAACACGUGAGUAACCUGCCCUUGACUUUGGGAUAACUUCAGGAAACUGGGGCUAAUACCGGAUAGGAGCUCCUGCUGCAUGGUGGGGGUUGGAAAGUUUCGGCGGUUGGGGAUGGACUCGCGGCUUAUCAGCUUGUUGGUGGGGUAGUGGCUUACCAAGGCUUUGACGGGUAGCCGGCCUGAGAGGGUGACCGGCCAGAUUGGGAAUGAGAUACGGCCCAGACAACUACGGGAAGCAGGAGGGGGGAAUAGUGAAGAAGGGGGGGGAGCCUGAUGAUGCAAACCAGCGGGAGGGGUGGGGAGAUUCGGUAUGUAAACAGGUUUCCCCGGAGACGAAGGGGGGAUGGAAAGAAUGGGUGAAGGAGCAACCGGUGAAUGCAA